GGCCAGAUUGCUCAAUUGGUUGGAGCAUUGUCCUGUACACCAAAAGGUUUCAGGUUUGAUUCCUGGUCUGGGCA
rfam:Myotis davidii contig7811, whole genome shotgun sequence.